GAUUGGAGAGCCCUGCUGCGUUUUCUGUUCCCUGCUGGUUUUCAUACGGGGCCUGCUUUUUAUCAGAGCACCUGCUGAACAUCCAGCCAGGGCCUCGUGGAAAGUAAAGUAGCGCUCUUGAGCCUUGGAUCGGUGGCUUUGCUAGAGCAGACGUUUCAUGGAGGGGCUGAUGGAUGUCCAAGAGGUUGUGUUUCUCUCAAAAAUGAAGAAACUCCACAGCGCCCCUGUGGGUUUGCCGGGGCGAAGAUCUGCUGUGCUUCUUUUAGGCCCUCGGUAUGGCACUUUGAGGUGAAAUAUGGCUCUAUUUAAUGUCACUGGUUUCUUGAAGCUCUGAGUUUUCUGGGACCACAAGUUUUACUUGAAGACCUUCUCCGAUCAAACAACUCUGCCGCUGCAGCUUGAAAACAACCACAGACAACACACACACAAAUCCAGCGUGGCUGUGUUCCGACGCAAUUUGACAAAAACAGGCACUGGCCAGACUUGGCCCAUGGACUGCAGUUUGCCAGCCUCUGAACUUAGAGGAAAAAAAUUGGAAGAAUGGAGUGAACCUUGAGCACAGGGAGGAGCAGGCACUGAAGCUGUCUGUGUGCUCUUUUCCUGUCUUGAUGGAGAACAAGACAUUUGUAUGCUUUCACAAAACAAAGACAAGUGUAACUGUGAGUUCAAAGAUUACAUCAUUGAUUUCAGUAGUGUUGAUACUUUAAGCAUUUGCUAUGUUUCCUCUGAGCUAUUGGGACAUUACACUGAGAUGCAGUCGGUGGUAUGGGGAGGUGCUCAGGGGUUCUCCUCUCUGCCCUCACUGCUUGGUGCUUACAGACAGCUACUGAAGCAGUGCCUUUCAUGCUGGGGAGCCUGACUAUUUGCAGGUUGUUAAAUCAAUUUAAUGGGUCGUGGUCUGCAUUUGAAAGAAUAGAACUGGCUCAACUUCCUUGGGCUAGAAUGGAAAAUCACAAGGUACAUCCUUUAUAGUAUUUUGUGAAUUUUUGUUGUACACUUGAACAUAUAUAAACAUAUAUGGGAUGCAUACAUAAUAAAGAACUAUUAGGGGAAAAUCAAGCUGUUUUUUGUAAAGUUAAAACUUUGGAAAGAGUAUAGUCGAGUCACAAACUUUUCUCUGUUAAGUUAUACCUAGAUGUGAUGAUUGUGAAAAAUUGGCAAACAAAAACUCUAGAAAAAGUUUGCAUUCAGAUUGUUUCCCAAUGGCUUCCUAAGUUACUGAAAGACAUCUCAACUAGAAUUUAGGAAUAGACACUUUCAGUGUUAU
rnacentral:lncRNA from 1 species